rnacentral:rRNA from 1 species
AAGGACUUGCUCCGUAAGCCCAUGCCGGUCGAAGAUACCAGGCCGCUGCGACUGUUUAUUAAAAACACAGCACUCUGCAAACACGAAAGUGGACGUAUAGGGUGUGACGCCUGCCCGGUGCCGGAAGGUUAAUUGAUGGGGUUAGCGCAAGCGAAGCUCUUGAUCGAAGCCCCGGUAAACGGCGGCCGUAACUAUAACGGUCCUAAGGUAGCGAAAUUCCUUGUCGGGUAAGUUCCGACCUGCACGAAUGGCGUAACGAUGGCGGCGCUGUCUCCACCCGAGACUCAGUGAAAUUGAAAUCGCUGUGAAGAUGCAGUGUAUCCGCGGCUAGACGGAAAGACCCCGUGAACCUUUACUAUAGCUUUGCACUGGACUUUGAAUUUGCUUGUGUAGGAUAGGUGGGAGGCUUUGAAGUGGGGACGCCAGUUCUCAUGGAGCCAUCCUUGAAAUACCACCCUGGCAACUUUGAGGUUCUAACUCAGGUCCGUUAUCCGGAUCGAGGACAGUGUAUGGUGGGUAGUUUGACUGGGGCGGUCUCCUCCCAAAGAGUAACGGAGGAGUACGAAGGUGCGCUCAGACCGGUCGGAAAUCGGUCGUAGAGUAUAAAGGCAAAAGCGCGCUUGACUGCGAGACAAACACGUCGAGCAGGUACGAAAGUAGGUCUUAGUGAUCCGGUGGUUCUGUAUGGAAGGGCCAUCGCUCAACGGAUAAAAGGUACUCCGGGGAUAACAGGCUGAUACCGCCCAAGAGUUCAUAUCGACGGCGGUGUUUGGCACCUCGAUGUCGGCUCAUCACAUCCUGGGGCUGAAGCCGGUCCCAAGGGUAUGGCUGUUCGCCAUUUAAAGUGGUACGCGAGCUGGGUUUAGAACGUCGUGAGACAGUUCGGUCCCUAUCUGCCGUGGACGUUUGAGAUUUGAGAGGGGCUGCUCCUAGUACGAGAGGACCGGAGUGGACGAACCUCUGGUGUUCCGGUUGUCACGCCAGUGGCAUUGCCGGGUAGCUAUGUUCGGAAGAGAUAACCGCUGAAAGCAUCUAAGCGGGAAACUUGCCUCAAGAUGAGAUCUCACUGGGAUCUUGAAUCCCCUAAAGGGCCGUCGAAGACUACGACGUUGAUAGGUUGGGUGUGUAAGCGCUGUGAGGCGUUGAGCUAACCAAUACUAAUUGCCCGUGAGGCUUGACCAU